rnacentral:rRNA from 1 species
GGGUUGUGAGGUUAAGCGACUAAGCGUACACGGUGGAUGCCUAGGCAAUCAGAGGCGAUGAAGGACGUGCUAAUCUGCGAAAAGCGUCGGUAAGGUGAUAUGAACCGUUAUACCCGACGAUAUCCGAAUGGGGAAACCCAGUAUCCAAUGGAUACUAUCAUUAACUGAAUCCAUAGGUUAAUGAGGCGAACCGGGAGAACUGAAACAUCUCAGUACCCCGAGGAAAAGAAAUCAACCGAGAUUCCCCUAGUAGCGGCGAGCGAACGGGGAGCAGCCCAGAGUCUUAAUCAAUAGCAGUGUCAGGAGAACGGUCUGGAAAGUCCGGCAGUAAAGGGUGAUAGCCCCGUAUCUGAAGAUGCUGUUAUUGUGAACUCGACGAGUAGGGCGGGACACGUGGUAUCCUGUCUGAAUAUGGGGGGACCAUCCUCCAAGGCUAAAUACUCCUGACUGACCGAUAGUGAACCAGUACCGUGAGGGAAAGGCGAAAAGAACCCCGGCGAGGGGAGUGAAAAAGAACCUGAAACCGUGUACGUACAAGCAGUGGGAGCCUCUUAAUGGGGUGACUGCGUACCUUUUGUAUAAUGGGUCAGCGACUUAUAUUCUGUAGCAAGGUUAACCGAAUAGGGGAGCCGAAGGGAAACCGAGUCUUAACUGGGCGUUAAGUUGCAGGGUAUAGACCCGAAACCCGGUGAUCUAUCCAUGGGCAGGUUGAAGGUUGGGUAACACUAACUGGAGGACCGAACCGACUAAUGUUGAAAAAUUAGCGGAUGACUUGUGGAUGGGGGUGAAAG